GUGGGGAAUUUUGGACAAUGGGCGCAAGCCUGAUCCAGCCAUUCCGCGUGCAGGAUGAAGGCCUUCGGGUUGUAAACUGCUUUUGUACGGAACGAAAAGCCUCUGGUUAAUACCCGGGGGUCAUGACGGUACCGUAAGAAUAAGCACCGGCUAACUACGUGCCAGCAGCCGCGGUAAUACGUAGGGUGCGAGCGUUAAUCGGAAUUACUGGGCGUAAAGCGUGCGCAGGCGGUUUUGUAAGACAGGCGUGAAAUCCCCGGGCUCAACCUGGGAAUUGCGCUUGUGACUGAAAGGCUGGAGUGCGGCAGAGGGGGAUGGAAUUCCGCGUGUAGCAGUGAAAUGCGUAGAUAUGCGGAGGAACACCGAUGGCGAAGGCAAUCCCCUGGGCCUGCACUGACGCUCAUGCACGAAAGCGUGGGGAGCAAACAGGAUUAGAAACCCUUGUAGUCC
rnacentral:rRNA from 1 species